UGCCCUACGGGGGGCAGCAGUAGGGAAUUUUCGUCAAUGGGCGCAAGCCUGAACGAGCAAUGCCGCGUGAACGAGGAAGGUCUUCGGAUCGUAAAGUUCUGUUGAAGGGGAAAAAGAGCGGAGAGAGGAAAUGGUCUCCGAUUGAUAUUACCCUUCGAGGAAGUCACGGCUAACUACGUGCCAGCAGCCGCGGUAAUACGUAGGUGGCGAGCGUUAUCCGGAAUGAUUGGGCGUAAAGGGCGCGUAGGCGGGAACUUAAGUUAGAUGUGAAAACUCCGGGCUUAACCUGGAGACUGCAUUUAAAA
rnacentral:rRNA from 1 species